UGUACCCACCCCAUAUGGCACUUUUCAUACUGUAAUAUGACAUUUGACUUGUACGAUGAUCAGUGAUGGGGAUUGUAAAAUUGUGAUGAAAACACACAUAGGGAUAUCAGCGUUUCUGUUACGUUGUUUUUAUUAAGUUGCCUUCAAAUUAACAAGCAAACACCUCAAUUAUCUCUUUCCCCCCCAAAUCCAUUCCAAGCCAUAUUUAUAUGCUAUGGAUGGUCACUGCUGAAAGUUAUAAAAUCUUUACAGGAAUUUUGCAAAAAAAUCAGGAAAGGCAACAAAGCAAAAAAAGCCAUUACAAAAAUAAGAUUUUAAAAUAUUGUGUCAUUGUUAAGGUGAAAGUAAAGUGCUUUUGAUGAAUGAUGUUUUCAUUACUUAAGACAGAUGAAUGUUUAUAAUAAUUGAGAGCACAGAACACAGGCUGACAUCCUUUCAUUCCUAACAACCAGUCCGUUGGGAGUAUUGUGAUCGGUUGGUUUAAUGAUGUUUGUGAGGGGGUGUUUUCCCUUUUCAAAGGCACAUUGCUGUAAGAAGCUGACAUUGAUUUGAAUCCAUUCAGUCCAAUUUUAAAUACUUUACAGUGAGUGUGUGCAGGGGGAGGCAAUGCAAAAGCAUCAGACCAACCAAA